GUGCCACACGUGUGUUCUGCGUCCAGUCUCACUGGUGUUCGACAAAAAAUACAAUUCCAGAGUUUGUUUUAGCAUCCAGACUUCUUCAUUAACGACAAAAAACAGCUCCAGAGUUUGUUUUCGCAUCCAGAUCUCUUCAGUACCGACGUUUUCUCACAGUACUGACAAACAGAGGUAAUGCUUUAGACUUGGUUUAAAUGUUUCCCGACUUACUUUCUCCGCCUCUCUACGCUCCUCCCACAGGUUUGUGGCCAAUGACGAGCUACGUCGGGGCCAAUGACGACAUACGUCAGCUAAGACAGAAAAACGCUGAUUGGCCGGCCGAAUCUGGUCCGCCUAGCAACCGCCCCUGACUGGUCUUAAAAUACAUCCAACCGUAAAGUCGGAGGGCAGCCUCGGAUGUAUUAUAAAAUCUGGCCUACAGCCAUCCACUAGAUGCAUCAUCAGCCACCAAGUCAUUAACCCACGCCUACACCGCGCAACCCCUGGGGCUCUAUCAGACGGCUGCAGUUUAUAGUUACAGGACAAUUGGAUUAUGUGGAGAAGAUAGCAGUGUGUGUGGUAGAAAAUACUUAAGUGUCAGCUCUGUAACCAUGUUUCACUAUCCAGUCAUUUUUAAUGUUUGUCAAAACACACUGACAAAUCGUGUGACUCAUCAGCACACACAAAAGAAAACACCCACAAUGUUAUUCUGUUCAAUAAACCUUUUUUAAUCUCAACAGCAAGUUAGCUUAUGUGUGGUCAACAUCAAUGAAGGUAAAUAUAAAACUGGAUUUCUAUUGAUAGAUUUUGUUUUAUCAGCAGGAGGUGAAAUUAUGAUACUUGGAAACACAUCCACUAGAAUCUUCAUGACUUUAGUCUUCAACUAGAGAAAUAUUGCUAUAAUACUUUUAAAUGGCAUACACUGAUUGACCAACGAGAAAAAGCACGGUAGAGAAGCUGACAAAGAAGCUCCAAAACUCCACACGGUGGGUCGUACAGGGAAACUUCUGAGGGACUUUGGUUUUGUACCUUUGUAAAACCUGGCUCUACUUACUUUCGGGGGAGAAAAAAAUAUAGAAAAGAAAAAAGUAAUCAAAAUAAAUGAUAAAAGGGUCCAACCAGAAAUAAUGAUGGUAGUCAAAAUCUUGGUUUCGAUUGAAAAUACGAAAAGUAAAAGGCACACUGAACACUUUUCACGUUCAACACAAAAUUCACCUCUGUGCAACUUGAGUGUGCACUGAAGAUUCACUACAACCCCUAAUUUGUACAAAGAACACUCAUCAUAAACUGAGAAGUGUUACUCUUUCUUGGAUUCAAAUCAACAAUCAGAUAAAGUGUUACUAUGUCUGGUCUUUCUUUGAAAGAAAUUUGUUUUGUGUCCAUUAUUGGUGGGGAAGGGAGAGGAGAAAGGUGUUUCCUAUAGAUUGCGGUUUGUUUCAUCUGCCAGGAAACAGCAGAGCAAUACAAACCUUUUACACCUCAUCCUUCUCUCACUACAUCUCCUCUUCCCCUCAUUGACAAAGUGCUCCAGUAUUCAACUUCCACAGAUCAUCCUGUAGCUGUUCUAGCCUGACCACUGGCAAAAUGAAAGAAAACAAUCAUCAAAAUAUUCAUUUAAAAGGCAAAAUCCACCCUUUAAUACUCUUAAACUAUCAUGUAUAUACUAUAUAAUAUUAUUACUCUAUUACUUAAGUUCCUUGUCUUUUCUAAAUGACAUUCUCAACUUGACCCACACACUGGGCGUAAGCUUAUUCCUGUCAAUAAAAUGUGGGUGUAUGAGCAUGUAAACAUCCAGCUCACCAACUAUUUUGUACAUUUUUGGGUGGAACUAUUAAAGCAGCCACAAGACCUGUUUUGCAACAUGUCUUGUGGCUGUAGUGCUCUCUUGUCCAUGGAGGCAGUUGUUGCUGGAAUUAUUAGAACCUGUGACUGGUAAAUGUCAGGGCUACAUGGUGACUAACUCAGCUUUAACUCCUACGUCUAAAGAGACUGGCAUGAAAAUUUGAUAUUUAACAGAUAUUUUAAAUCCUAGAAACACCUAAUAUAUACUCAUACUCAUAUAUACUCAGUCACAAUUUAUCAACACAUUGUUAAUCUUUUUCUUUUUUUCACACAAAAGAGCCAAAAAGUGAGAAAUUUGCCAGUGUUAUAAAUAUUAAAUAUGUUAAAUUGUUUUUUGUUUUUGUUUUUUACUGUUUUCUGAAAUUUAAAAUACUAAAACUAAACAACUAAAUCAUUAAUUAAUUAAUCAUUUUAUCAUCAGCAGCCUUAAUCUGUUGUGAAACGGUGUUAAAAGUAUUUUAGGGUGGAUUUAUCCUUUAAGUCUUACACAGGACUGCAACCACAGUUGGUCCAUAUUCCUAGCCAUCAUUAAAGACUGUCAACUACAAAGUAUAAAGACCACAAGUCAAACCACAUCAGUACUUUAGAGUCUGAUUGUGAACUCUAUAAGGUGUCUGCUGAGUCCAGUCAACACACUGAGAGUUACUGCCUCAUCUGAAAGCUAAUCUGACUACAAAAACUCUGACAAUUUAACCCACGACCACUGAAGGUCAUGCAGUCUGUCAGAUGGUCACAGUCCAAUAAUCUCAUCUCAACCCACUGAUGUUUACUGUCCUAUUAUUCCAAUGAAAAGUUGUUUUUUUUAAAUCAACAUCAUCUGUCAGAGAAGAUACAUCUGUGCACUUCAAGUAGAUUGAACACAGUCUAAGCGCUGUUUAAAAAAAAAAAAAAAAAGAUCUCUCGUCACUGGUUUGCUGUCAGUCAAAGAGCGGUGGAGAGCCAACAGUCAAAAUCCAGUGUCAGGUGACUGAUGACGUCCUGCUGGUCUUUAUCUCACAGCAGCCCCAACGUUAGAGAGGAAACAUUCUUUCAUUAAAUCUAAUGCAGGGAAUCUUUAAGGGGGUCAUUCCAUUAUUCUAAACAUAAUUCAUUGUUAAAACAACACAGAGGCAUGACUGGAGCACUGAGGAUGUAAACCAGAAUUAAUCUAAAAGCUACAACUGUGUGUUAUUUUUAAUGGGGGCUCUUUCAGUAAUGACGACAAAUGAUGCAGAAAAAUUUGAAUUCUGAAUUGUGCAAACAAACAUAAUCACACUCAAACUCACACACGCACACCCUCAAACACGCGCACACAUUCACACAAAUGUCUCCAGACUCAUCCCUGCACUUCCAGGGCGAGUGAGAGGGAGAGAGGAGAGAGAGAGAGAGAGAGAGAGAGAUUAUCUCCUGGUUACAUCAUCAGCUCAAGUGAUGUCACUGCUGACGACUCAAGAGGUCCCCAGGAACCAAUCGGAGCUGGCUGUACAGGUGAGGCUUCCAUUCAUAAUCCCUCAACAUUAAGGAUUAAUAUUGCUUCAGUAUUGCCACAAAAAUAGAAUAAACUGUCACCGCAACUUCUCAACCAAAACACACGUUAAUUAUGUCAGCCCUCAUUUAUCAGGCAAACACAUGACCCACAAUUCAACUGCUAAACAGACGUGUGGCCAUUUCGCCUGCAAAAACGGAUAAUUAUCCUCAUCGCAUCGAGUAUAAUGAAACCUGGCAAGUGUGUGCAAUCGGAUGGAAAGGCGGAAAAGCAGUUCAGUAGUGUAAGAAAUAAAUCAGGAUCAGUAGUUACAAGUUACAAAAACCACAAAGAAAACAAACAAAAAACUGUAUUAUUUAUGUCACAUAGCCUACACAAAAGCCUGCAGUUGUAUCUAUUAUUUUCAUUAGUCAGUUAGCUAAAAAAAAUAGCUUGGAGAGAGUUUAUCACUGUUAAAAGCACAAAUGUAGCAAAAGCUCAACAAAUGGUGCUUCACUCCGCACGUUUAGAGUACUUGUUUAGGCAAAUGACAAAGUUAC